rnacentral:lncRNA from 1 species
AAAAAUAGGAGCUGGCAUCUGAGCCAGCCUUAGAAGGAUGAACUGGAGAACUGGAGGCGGAACACUGCAGACUCUGAAACAGGCCUGGGAAGGUUCCAGGCUUUGUGCUGGGCCCAGGGGCCACAAAGUAAGCAAGAGAGCCAUCGUCCCUGCCCUCAUGGAGCUCCAGCCCAAGGGACAGCAGCUUAUCCUACGCCAAGGGGCUCCUCUCAAAAUUCCCACAGCAGUAGUGAUCUAAGGACCUGGGCAGGGGCACUGGACUUCAAGUCUCAGCCUCUGGAUGUAGCAGAAGCGACGCUGUGUGAGUUCCCAGGCUGAGGCUGCAGAGAUUUGAGGCAUCUUCUCUCACCCAGCUUGAAGUCCUUCCCCUUGGAAGCCAGUCACCGUGAAAAAACUCACCAUGCUGUGAGGAAGCCCAAGAGAGCUGCAUGGAGAGAAGGGCCUGUGGAAGAGCUCUGAGGUGCCACUCACAUGAAGUGAGCCUUUGUGGACCUUCCAGCCCAGCCACCAGCAAACACAACCCAGAAAC